rnacentral:rRNA from 1 species
AGUCGAACGGCAGCACUGGACUUCGGUCUGGUGGCGAGUGGCGAACGGGUGAGUAAUGUCGUAUCGGAACGUGCCUAGUAGCGGGGGAUAACUACGCGAAAGCGUAGCUAAUACCGCAUACGCCCUUCGGGGGAAAGCGGGGGACCUUCGGGCCUGCACUAUUAGAGCGGCCGAUAUCGGAUUGGCUAGUUGGUGGGGUAAACGGUCACCAAGGCGACGAUCCGUAGCUGGUUUGAGAGGACCACCAGCCACACUGGGACUGAGACACGGCCCAGACUCCGCGUAUGGCAAAGGGGAAUUUUGGACAAUGGGGGAAACCCUGAUCCAGCCAUCCGCGUGCGAUGAAGGCCUUCGGGUUGUAAAGCACUUUUGGCAGGAAAAGAAACGGCACGGAUAAUACCCCGUGCAACUGACGGUACCUGCAGAAUAAGCACCGGCUAACUACGUGCCAGCAGCCGCGGUAAUACGUAGGGUGCAAGCGUUAAUCGGAAUUACUGGGCGAAAGGCAGUAUAAGUGUCUGGAAAGAAAGAUGAAAUCCCAGAGCUUAACUUUGGAACUGCAUUUUUAACUACCGAGCUAGAGUGUGUCAGAGGGAGGUGGAAUUCCGCGUGUAGCAGUGGAAUGCGUAGAUAUGCGGAGGAACACCGAUGGCGAAGGCAGCUUCUGGGAUAACACUGACGCUCAUGCACAAAGCGUGGGGAGCAAACAGGAUUAGAUACCCUGGUAGUCCACGCCCUAAACGAUGUCAACUAGCUUGUUGGGGCCUUCGGGCCUUGGUAGCGCAGCUAACGCGUGAAGUUGACCGCCUGGGGAGUACGGUCGUAAGAUUUAAAACUUCAGCAAUUUGAUUGGGACCUGCACAAGCGGUGGAUGAUGUGAUUAAUUCGAUGCAACGCGAAAACCUUACCUACCCUUGAUACGUCUGGGAACCCAAGAGAUUAGGUGCUGCAAAGAGUCAACGCUGCAUGACGACGUUGGCCGUACCAGAGCUGAAUAAGUUCCGCACUCGAUGCCUCUGCUCGCUAGUUACACGAAAGGCACUCACGAGACUGCCGUGACAAACCGAGUAGGUGUAAUGCUGUCCCUUGGGCCUCUUAUGGGUAGGGCUUCACACGUCAUACAAUGGUCGGGACAGAGGGUCGCCAACCCGCGAGGGGAGCCAAUCCCAGAAACCCGGAUCGUAGUCCGAUCGCAGUCUGCAACUGACUGCGUGAAGUCGGAAUCGCUAGUAAUCGCGGAUCAGCAUGUCGCGGUGAAUACGUUCCCGGGUCUUGUACACACCGCCCGUCACACCAUGGGAGUGGGUUUUACCAGAAGUAGUUAGCCUAACCGUAAGGAGGGCGAUUACCACGGUAGGAUUCAUGACUGGGGUGAAGUCGUAACAAGGUAG